GACGAACGCUGGCGGUGUGCUUAACACAUGCCAGUCGAACGGUAAGGCCCUUUCGGGGGUACACGAGUGGCGAACGGGUGAGUAACACGUGAGUAACCUGCCCUCAUCUCUGGGAUAACAGUCGGAAACGGUUGCUAAUACUGGAUAUGAGCCUGCAAGGCAUCUUGUGGGUUGGAAAGAUUUUUUGGUUGGGGAUGGACUCGCGGCCUAUCAGCUUGUUGGUGAGGUAGUGGCUCACCAAGGCUUCGACGGGUAGCCGGCCUGAGAGGGCGACCGGCCACAUUGGGACUGAGAUACGGCCCAAACUCCUACGGGAGGCAGCAGUGGGGAAUAUUGCACAAUGGACGGAAGUCUGAUGCAGCAACGCCGCGUGCGGGAUGACGGCCUUCGGGUUGGAAACCGCUUUCAAUUGUGACGAAGCUUUUUGUGACGGUAGCAGUAGAAGAAGCACCGGCUAACUACGUG
rnacentral:rRNA from 1 species